UACGAAGGGGACUAGCGUUGUUCGGAAUCACUGGGCGUAAAGCGCACGUAGGCGGAUGUGUCAGUCAGGGGUGAAAUCCCGGGGCUCAACCUCGGAACUGCCUUUGAUACAGCACGUCUCGAGUCCGGAAGAGGUGGGUGGAAUUCCUGGUGUAGCGGUGAAAUGCGUAGAUAUCAGGAGGAACACCUGCGGUGUAGACAGCUUUCUGGACCACUUCUGACGCUGAGACACGAAAGCGUGGGUAGCAAACAGG
rnacentral:rRNA from 1 species